rnacentral:misc_RNA from 1 species
UUCGCGGAAAUUCGACAGUUGUCCAGGUCUGUAAAUUUCUGGCCAGACAGACCGGCUACUGAAAAGGUCUCCGAAUUGGAUCAAGAUUUUGGCUAUCCCACCACUGUCAGACGUCCCGAGCGCGUCUCCAAAAUCGGAAUCGGCAUGAGUAAACCCGAACCUUACUUUUUCGUAAUUUUCUAGUACUUAAAUGGGAUUAAAAAUCCAUAGAAUAUUC